rnacentral:rRNA from 1 species
UGGGGAAUAUUGCACAAUGGGGGGAACCCUGAUGCAGCGACGCCGCGUGGGUGAAGGAGUACUUCGGUACGUAAAGCCCUAUCAGCAGGAAAGAAAAUGACGGUACCUGACUAAGAAGCCCCGGCUAACUACGUGCCAGCAGCCGCGGUAAUACGUAGGGGGCAAGCGUUAUCCGGAUUUACUGGGUGUAAAGGGAGCGUAGACGGCAGUGCAAGUCCGGAGUGAAAGCCCGGGGCUCAACCCUGGGACUGCUCUGGAAACUGUAAAGCUGGAGUGCGGGAGGGGCAGGCGGAAUUCCUGGUGUAGCGGUGAAAUGCGUAGAUAUCAGGAGGAACACCGGCGGCGAAGGCGGCCUGCUGGACCGUAACUGACGUUGAGGCUCGAAAGCGUGGGGAGCAAACAGG